rnacentral:rRNA from 1 species
AGAGUUUGAUCAUGGCUCAGAUUGAACGCUGGCGGCAGGCCUAACACAUGCAAGUCGAGCGGUAGCACAGAGAGCUUGCUCUCGGGUGACGAGCGGCGGACGGGUGAGUAAUGUCUGGGAAACUGCCUGAUGGAGGGGGAUAACUACUGGAAACGGUAGCUAAUACCGCAUAAUGUCGCAAGACCAAAGUGGGGGACCUUCGGGCCUCAUGCCAUCAGAUGUGCCCAGAUGGGAUUAGCUAGUAGGUGGGGUAACGGCUCACCUAGGCGACGAUCCCUAGCUGGUCUGAGAGGAUGACCAGCCACACUGGAACUGAGACACGGUCCAGACUCCUACGGGAGGCAGCAGUGGGGAAUAUUGCACAAUGGGCGCAAGCCUGAUGCAGCCAUGCCGCGUGUGUGAAGAAGGCCUUCGGGUUGUAAAGCACUUUCAGCGGGGAGGAAGGCGNNNNNNNNNNNNNNNNNNNNNNNNNCGAUUGACGUUACCCGCAGAAGAAGCACCGGCUAACUCCGUGCCAGCAGCCGCGGUAAUACGGAGGGUGCAAGCGUUAAUCGGAAUUACUGGGCGUAAAGCGCACGCAGGCGGUCUGUCAAGUCGGAUGUGAAAUCCCCGGGCUCAACCUGGGAACUGCAUUCGAAACUGGCAGGCUAGAGUCUUGUAGAGGGGGGUAGAAUUCCAGGUGUAGCGGUGAAAUGCGUAGAGAUCUGGAGGAAUACCGGUGGCGAAGGCGGCCCCCUGGACAAAGACUGACGCUCAGGUGCGAAAGCGUGGGGAGCAAACAGGAUUAGAUACCCUGGUAGUCCACGCCGUAAACGAUGUCGAUUUGGAGGUUGUGCCCUUGAGGCGUGGCUUCCGGAGCUAACGCGUUAAAUCGACCGCCUGGGGAGUACGGCCGCAAGGUUAAAACUCAAAUGAAUUGACGGGGGCCCGCACAAGCGGUGGAGCAUGUGGUUUAAUUCGAUGCAACGCGAAGAACCUUACCUGGUCUUGACAUCCACAGAACUUNNNNNNNNNNNNNNNNNNNNNNNNNNNUUGGUGCCUUCGGGAACUGUGAGACAGGUGCUGCAUGGCUGUCGUCAGCUCGUGUUGUGAAAUGUUGGGUUAAGUCCCGCAACGAGCGCAACCCUUAUCCUUUGUUGCCAGCGGUUAGGCCGGGAACUCAAAGGAGACUGCCAGUGAUAAACUGGAGGAAGGUGGGGAUGACGUCAAGUCAUCAUGGCCCUUACGACCAGGGCUACACACGUGCUACAAUGGCAUAUACAAAGAGAAGCGACCUCGCGAGAGCAAGCGGACCUCAUAAAGUAUGUCGUAGUCCGGAUUGGAGUCUGCAACUCGACUCCAUGAAGUCGGAAUCGCUAGUAAUCGUAGAUCAGAAUGCUACGGUGAAUACGUUCCCGGGCCUUGUACACACCGCCCGUCACACCAUGGGAGUGGGUUGCAAAAGAAGUAGGUAGCUUAACCUUCGGGAGGGCGCUUACCACUUUGUGAUUCAUGACUGGGGUGAAGUCGUAACAAGGUAACCGUAGGGGAACCUGCGGUUGGAUCACCU